ACGCACGCUGGCGGCGUGCUUCACCCCUGCAAGUCGCACGGAAAGGCCCUGCUUUUGUGGGGUGCUCGAGUGGCGAACGGGUGAGUAACACGUGAGUAACCUGCCCUUGACUUUGGGAUAACUUCAGGAAACUGGGGCUAAUACCGGAUAGGAGCUCCUGCUGCAUGGUGGGGGUUGGAAAGUUUCGGCGGUUGGGGAUGGACUCGCGGCUUAUCAGCUUGUUGGUGGGGUAGUGGCUUACCAAGGCUUUGACGGGUAGCCGGCCUGAGAGGGUGACCGGCCACAUUGGGACUGAGAUACGGCCCAGACUCCUACGGGAGGCAGCAGUGGGGAAUAUCGCACAAUGGGCGGAAGCCUGAUGCAGCAACGCCGCGUGCGGGAUGACGGCCUUCGGGUUGUAAACCGCUUUCGCCUGUGACGAAGCGUGAGUGACGGUAAUGGGUAAAGAAGCACCGGCUAACUACGUG
rnacentral:rRNA from 1 species